GACUCUCGGCAACGGAUAUCUCGGCUCUCGCAUCGAUGAAGAACGUAGCGAAAUGCGAUACUUGGUGUGAAUUGCAGAAUCCCGUGAACCAUCGAGUUUUUGAACGCAAGUUGCGCCCGAAGCCGUUAGGCUGAGGGCACGUUUGCCUGGGCGUCGUAUU
rnacentral:rRNA from 2 species